GACGAACGCUGGCGGCGUGCUCAACACAUGCAAGCCGAACGGAAAGGCCCUGCUUUUGUGGGGUGCUCGAGUGGCGAACGGGUGAGUAACACGAGAGUAACCUGCCCUUGACUUUGGGAUAACUUCAGGAAACAGGGGCUAAUACCGGAUAGGAGCUCCAGCUGCACGGUGGGGGUUGGACAGUUUCGGCGGUUGGGGAUGGACUCGAGGCUUAUCAGCUUAUUGGUGGGGUAGUGGCUUACCAAGGCUUUGACGGGUAGACGGCCUGAGAGGGUGACCGGCCACAUUGGGACUGAGAUACGGCCCAGACUCCUUCGGGAGGCAGCAGGUGGGAAUAUCGCACAAUGGGCGGAAGCCUGAUGCAGCAACGCCGCGUGCGGGAUGACGGCCUUCGGGUUGUAAACCGCUUUCGCCUGUGACGAAGCGUGAGUGACGGUAAUGGGUAAAGAAGCACCGGCUAACUACGUG
rnacentral:rRNA from 1 species